rnacentral:rRNA from 1 species
CCAAGGAGUCUAACAUGUGCGCGAGUCGUCGGGUCUUGAAUAGGCCCGCAGGCGAAAUGAAAGUGAAGGGCGACCUUGUCGUCGCCUGCGUUGGGAUCCCUGGACCAUGGCGUCCGGGGCGCACCAACGGCCCGUCCCGUCCGCAACGUCGGUGGGACGGAGCGAGAGCGUACACGUUGGGACCCGAAAGAUGGUGAACUAUGCCUGGGCAGGACGAGGCCAGAGGAAACUCUGGUGGAGGUCCGCAGCGAUUCUGACGUGCAAAUCGAUCGUCAGACCUGGGUAUAGGGGCGAAAGACUAAUCGAACCGUCUAGUAGCUGGUUCCCUCCGAAGUUUCCCUCAGGAUAGCUGGCGCUCGAGGGAGUCAGUCUCAUCCGGUAAAGCGAAUGAUUAGAGGCCUUGGGGCCGAAACGACCUCAACCUAUUCUCAAACUUUCAAUGGGUGAGAAGUCCGGUUUACAUGACUGAAGCCCGGACAAUUCUCAGGAUGCGAGUGCCCAGUGGGCCACUUUU